UACGUAGGGGCCGAGCGUUGUCCGGAGUUAUUGGGCGUAAAGCGCGCGCAGGCGGCCUCGCGCGCCCGACGUGAAAGCCCCCGGCUUAACCGGGGAGGGUCGUUGGGGACGGCGGGGCUUGAGGGCGGGAGAGGGUGGUGGAAUUCCCGGUGUAGUGGUGAAAUGCGUAGAUAUCUGGAGGAACACCGGUGGCGAAGGCGGCAUCCUGGACCGAGAUUGACGCUGAGGCGCGAAAGCCAGGGGAGCAAACGGG
rnacentral:rRNA from 1 species